rnacentral:lncRNA from 1 species
CUUUUCAUUGGCCGCACGUGACAGCAUCUCCGCCCUUCCCCUUCGUCUCCAGGCUGCUUCCGGGUUGCCGAGCAUUUCCAUUGGCCGAAUCACUGGUUACCUGAGACAAACCUCAGUUUUUAAAAAUUUCUAUUUGUCCACUCGCCAAGCAGCACAAUCCGGAAGCGCCAGCCCAGCCGCUUUCCUACUGGUCGUACUUAUAAUCACGUGACUAUUCAUCCCCCUCCUUCCCCCCCUUACACACAGCUGGUUUUGAGGGCUUGCUUUCCUGGUAGGUAGCCGAGCGGCCCACGUGUUUGGCCGCCGUGCCCGCCCAGCGUGCUCCCCUAUUGGUUGCGGCUGUCACCCUCCUCCCUCCGGGAAGACGGAGCGCUUCGGCUGCGUAGCGGGUGCUGCAGGCUCGGAGCUUCGGUAACCAGGAAUAUACUGUGAAGGCCCACCUGUGCGAACGGAGCCAUGGGGCCGGGGAGCAGAGUCGAGCCAGAUACCUUCAAAGAACAGAAAGGAGGCCCAGCAUCUCUGGAACAGGUUUUGUUUUUAAGUAAUCUCUACACCCAACGUGGGGCUCGAACCUACAACCCUGAGAGCAAGAGUCACCGGCUCCACCAACUGAAUCAGCCAGGCUCCGAG